rnacentral:rRNA from 1 species
CUAGUCCUACGGGACGCAGCAGUGGGGAAUAUUGGGCAAUGGGCGCAAGCCUGACCCAGCAACGCCGCGUGAAGGAAGAAGGCUUUCGGGUUGUAAACUUCUUUUCUCAGGGACGAAGAAAGUGACGGUACCUGAGGAAUAAGCCACGGCUAACUACGUGCCAGCAGCCGCGGUAAUACGUAGGUGGCAAGCGUUAUCCGGAUUUAUUGGGUGUAAAGGGCGUGUAGGCG